GAUGAAGAACGCAGCGAAAUGUGAUAAGUAAUGCGAAUUGCAGAAUUCAGUGAAUCAUCGAAUCUUUGAACGCACAUUGCGCCCGCCAGUAUUCUGGCGGGCAUGCCUGUCUGAGCGUCGUUUCGACCCUCGCGCCCGGCUUCUGUCGGGGGCGGUGUUGGGGAUCGGCCACACCCUUCAGUGGGAGGCCGGCCCCUAAAUUCAGUGGCGACCACGCUGUAGCCUCCCCUGCGUAGUACUAAAACCACCUCGCAGGCGGAGAGCGGUGCGGCCCGCCGUAAAACCCCCCAACUUUUACAAGGUCGACCUCAGAUCAGGUAGGAAUACCCGCUGAACUUAAGCAUAUCAAUAAGCGGAGGA
rnacentral:misc_RNA from 1 species